UACGUAGGGGGCUAGCGUUGUCCGGAUUUAUUGGGCGUAAAGAGCGUGUAGGCGGCCAGGUAGGUCUGCUGUGAAAACUCGAGGCUCAACCUCGAGAUGUCGGCGGAAACCAUCUGGCUAGAGUCCGGAAGAGGAGAGUGGAAUUCCUGGUGUAGCGGUGAAAUGCGCAGAUAUCAGGAAGAACACCCCGUGGCGAAGGCGGCUCUCUGGGGACGGUACUGACGCUGAGACGCGAAAGCGUGGGGAGCGAACAGG
rnacentral:rRNA from 1 species